rnacentral:rRNA from 1 species
GACGGAAGGUGCAAGCGUUGUCCGGAUUUACUGGGCGUAAAGAGCGCGCAGGCGGUCGUUCAAGUCGCGUGUGAAAGCCCCCGGCUCAACUGGGGAGGGUCACGCGAUACUGAUCGACUCGAAGGCAGGAGAGGGAAGUGGAAUUCCCGGUGUAGUGGUGAAAUGCGUAGAUAUCGGGAGGAACACCAGUGGCGAAGGCGACUUCCUGGCCUGUUCUUGACGCUGAGGCGCGAAAGCUAGGGGAGCAAACGGG